rnacentral:rRNA from 1 species
AGAGUUUGAUCCUGGCUCAGGAUGAACGCUGGCGGCGUGCUUAACACAUGCAAGUCGAACGAUGAAGCCCAGCUUGCUGGGUGGAUUAGUGGCGAACGGGUGAGUAACACGUGAGUAACCUGCCCUUAACUCUGGGAUAAGCCUGGGAAACUGGGUCUAAUACCGGAUAGGAGCGCCUACCGCAUGGUGGGUGUUGGAAAGAUUUAUCGGUUUUGGAUGGACUCGCGGCCUAUCAGCUUGUUGGUGAGGUAAUGGCUCACCAAGGCGACGACGGGUAGCCGGCCUGAGAGGGUGACCGGCCACACUGGGACUGAGACACGGCCCAGACUCCUACGGGAGGCAGCAGUGGGGAAUAUUGCACAAUGGGCGCAAGCCUGAUGCAGCGACGCCGCGUGAGGGAUGACGGCCUUCGGGUUGUAAACCUCUUUCAGUAGGGAAGAAGCGAAAGAGACG